GCCAACCAGGAUCCAUGAAAUGGUGAAUGCCAAUCUUCAUCAAGAUCAGACGAUUUUUCCUUGUCAAAAGUAACAUGCAGAGUGACCCUCCUUUGUUGUAACUUUCUUGUAACUUGGAUUUUACUGAAUUAGUGCUUUUCAGUCCAACCCAUACCAUGUAAAUAAGUCAGAAGAAAGUCCUGUUGAAUUAAAGGGGGGCAGGGUUACUCUCAGCAUCUGAUACUUCUCAAAGCAACAUCUAUUCAUUAUGCUGAAGACACAUCCCAAAAAUGGUACCUAGAAGCAAGUUCUCAGGCAAAACAGAGGACAGAAGAAAAUUCCCUGUUAAUGGUCUGCAUGGAAAUACCAGCUAUUUGAAUCAUCUAAAUGUGAGUGGCUUGUAAAUGUUGCAGUAACUUCAUUCUUACUCUGGCAAAGCUAUGUGAACAGUGUAAUGUUUAAUAAAACAGCACAAUUUGAUAGAUUUAGACAGCUGCCUCAUUCUCUAGAAGUUCACAUUUUGUUAAUGCCACCCCCAUGUUGAAUAAGAGAAGAUUAGAAUGUAAGGUCAAUGUACAAAAAUGGUUGCCAGGACAUUUUUUUUAAUUGUAAAACUUUUUGUGAUGUGAUUCAGUAAAAAGACUAUAGGGAGAAAGCAAUGGAGACAAAGGGCUGCUAUUAACCUACAGAUGCAGGCUAUUGCAGGGUUCAUUGCGAGAUUUGUCACACUGCUUAGCCAAUGACGUGCUAGCAUGACUGGAAGAGACCACCCUUUUCUGGGGUAAGAGGGUAAUUUGGUCUCCAUGCUCAUUUAAUCCUGAACCUUCUCUGAAUAGAGUGUCAGUUGGGUCUACAUUGUGCAAAAUUAUGCAUGCACUUUUUAAUGCUGCCCCAUUGUUCACUAAGCACUCGACCAAGAUUUCUCAACCAAUUUCCAUUUGUCAGGAGGUCACUUGAAACCCAAGAGGAAUCAUAGGUGGAUGGCAAGUGCAGGCGCUGCUUCCUUCUGCUGUCUCUAAAACAGAUGUUUGGACACGAACAGCUUACCUAUUGCGUUUUGCUUACAAAUUGCAGCAGUACUAAAUUUUAUGAAGAAAUGGCUUGAUUUCAUUUAGUGACUGAAGAACUCACUCUUAUAAAUGCGUUCCCUCUCCUACAGAUACCAUUGUCAAGGAGGCUGGGAAUGUUUGGUCAAAGUGUCAGGCUACAUUGCUUAAAACAUUGCACACUGUUGGUGUAGGAGGAACAGGUGUUUGAUGAACUGUGGGACGAAGGGCACCCUUGCUCUUCCCUUCUUUCUGUGUGGGAAGACUUCUCUGCAAAAACAAUAGCACAAAGAGAAAUUGAUAUAUACCGCAAGUAUGAACACACAGACUACAGCACAAGUAUUGCAGAAAUAAGCAUUUUAAAUUCUGGGGGUGAUCCUAUAGUUCCAAUAUUAAUCAAUACUUUAACAAUUCUGAAUACAGCAUGUACAUCAAAUUUAUUGAUACAUUUACAAAGAGGAAACAGCAUUAUGUUAACUCUCCAAGAAACAUUUACAUUUUGAACCAUAUUUGGCAAUAAUCAUAUUUUUAAUGAUUUGUACAAGUGUCCUCUUAACACAGGCAAGACUUUAGCUAAAGUGAGCUCCCAUCCAGUGAAGUUCCAUUCAAUGUGAAUUCUGCAAUAAAUUCAUAUACCAUAUAAAAAUGGGCCAGUCCUGAUAUAGUGGAAAGAACUCUAUCAACGUUUGCAGCGACUGGUUGAUUGGCUGCAGCUGUUCUCCGUCGAUUACGAACAAAGGCUGACACAAGGAUACCUUUCUACAUUAUGUCCACAACACAUUAAAGAGUGUGUUUGCUCUUUCGCUCCCCGUCAUUCCAAUUAAUUUGGAGAAAAAUGUAACUUUAGUAUUUGACAGGACAUGGCAAAGCUGUUCAUCUAGAUGAUGUCUAUAUUAUAAAAAAAUUAAAAUAAAAUAAAAUAAUAUAAAUAUGUAACACAAACCCAGUGCCCAUUGUUAAAUAAGAUAUUCAGUAAAAAAACAAAAAAACAGACCUUCUACAAUGACUGGUUUUAAAAUAUGCAGAUAUAAUUUAAUUAUGAAGAACUUGAAACAGUGUGGAAAUUAAGCUGCGAUAGCCAGAUUUUUGCAUCUAUGCCAGGUAAAGUAGUUAAGUGCAUAACAUUCUGUUACAUUGAUAGAAGUGUAGAUUACAAUCUUACAAUGAAUUGUCUAUAUAAGAAUGCAUUCAGGAGUUCCGAAACAUUGUAUUAUAACGAUGGGGUGGAUUCACAUGGUCAUGUUUUUGAUACGAUAACUGCAAUUUUAAUGUCAUAAUUUGGUCAUCUGAAGAUUCCAGUGGAUAAUAGCUCUUACUACAAUACCCUUUUCCCAUCCUGUUCAGAGAACAGCUUUUAAUGGAAGGG